UUCGUUUUAAAGUGGAGUUUUACUUUCGAUUGCAAGUCUAGUAUUGGAGAGUGAAGACCUUGCUAAAGUACAGGAACCAAGAAGGAGUGAGUAAAGUUGGUGUCGUUCGGCAGUUUCAUUAAGGAUCGACCUUAUUGAAUCUUCGUUGAGAAAUAGUGACCUGCAUCUGAGAUAACCCCUGUAAGAUCAGGAAGGUUUUUUGCAGUGUUCAUUCGCCAGGAAAAGUGGUUCCAAGAUGAAGUUUCUGUGGAAGAUCUUUCCUAUAUUUGGAAAAGGAUGAUAAAACAGACAAGAUCUGCUUGGAUGCCAUAAGUUGAAAUGGCACAAACACUGUUCAAACCAACUACAAGCUCAUCUAUAAAGUAUUUUUCUAUGAUGAUAUUGCCUCUUGUGAACGGGGAGAGCUGUAUCCAUGAUGGAACAGGCUGAGCUCCGUGCCUCCCCAGCAUCAAGGACUGCUUCAGUCACCCAGGGUGUGCUCUCUUCUUAUUACUGUCAUCGGGGACGAGGUACAGGAACCUGAAGGCACACACUCAGCAUCUUUCGAACAGCUUCUUCCCCUCUGCCAUCAGAUUUCUGAACGGUCCAUGAACCCAUGAGCACAAGCACGACACCAUCUCCCUUUUUGCACGACUUAGUUUUUUUUUCAUAUUUCUUAUUGUAACUAAUAAUAAUUUUUAUGUAAUUCACUGUACUGCUGUCACAAAACAAUAAAUUUCAUUACAUUUUUCAGUGAUAAUAAACCCGAUACUGGCUGGAAUUCUGAUUCUCUCUGGAUCAGAGAAUUCCAGAAAUUCACUACCCUCUAUAAGAAGAAAUUUCUACACAUCUACAUUUUAAUCAACCAGUCUAUUUUUAC